AUUCUACUCCCUCCGUUCCACAAUACAUGCCUUCUAUUUGUAAAAAUAUAGAUGUAUCUAGAAAUGUUUUAGUAUAUAGGUAUAUCCAUUUUUGGACAAAUGGAAGUCAAGUAUUUUGGAACGGAGGGAGUACACA
rnacentral:pre_miRNA from 1 species